AUUGAACGCUGGCGGCAGGCCUAACACAUGCAAGUCGAGCGGUAACAGAGAGGAGCUUGCUCCUUUGCUGACGAGCGGCGGACGGGUGAGUAAUGCUUGGGAACAUGCCUUGAGGUGGGGGACAACAGUUGGAAACGACUGCUAAUACCGCAUAAUGUCUACGGACCAAAGGGGGCUUCGGCUCUCGCCUUUAGAUUGGCCCAAGUGGGAUUAGCUAGUUGGUGAGGUAAUGGCUCACCAAGGCGACGAUCCCUAGCUGGUUUGAGAGGAUGAUCAGCCACACUGGGACUGAGACACGGCCCAGACUCCUACGGGAGGCAGCAGUGGGGAAUAUUGCACAAUGGGCGCAAGCCUGAUGCAGCCAUGCCGCGUGUGUGAAGAAGGCCUUCGGGUUGUAAAGCACUUUCAGUCAGGAGGAAAGGUUAGUAGUUAAUACCUGCUAGCUGUGACGUUACAUGACAGAAGAAG
rnacentral:rRNA from 1 species